GGAACUUGCAUUCUAGUAGGCUAAUAAACACGCAAAUGAACAAUAUACUUUCAAAUCGGGGUAGUGCAGCGAAGACAAUGCACCAGGGAGCUGUGAGGCGGCACCGUGACCAGCCCUGUGUGGGAAUGUCCUAAGUGCUGCCGAGGAGGCGGGACCAGUUAUCCUGGUGGUGGAGUGAGGGGAGUGAAAGUGCUGGCUCACAUGGUGAUUCCACAUUUGGCUUUUUGAGGAACUGUCAAACUGUUUUCCAUGAUGGCUGCACUAUUUGACAUUCUCACCAGCAACGUCUGAGGGUGGAAACCUUGAUUCUUAAAACCAAACAGGUGUCAGCUGCUUGCCAGGAAAUGGGCAGACUCUGGUGAACUGAUGAUACCGCUAUUUGGACAACUGUGAUCAGGCCAUCUAUGUGUACCAGAUUCAUUGUCCACAGGAAGAUUGGGUGGCCCAGGCCAGAGCUCAGGGCUGGCGUCUCCCUUCCCCCAGGAAGAGUGCUCCAAGACCACCCAAGUAACAGAAACAGCCUGCUUUACUUGUUUAAUUUCUAGAGAGAUGUUCUCUAUGGAAAAUGUUCCUCCUGCUGCAUAUAAGAAGCAGAACACAGAACAUUAUGGUCUCUUCUGUAAAUCCACCUAGUGCCAAGUGUGUGUAGGCUCCCCGGGGUCUGGGAGGAUGGACAUUGGCUUCCUAAGGAGACCUGUCCUCCAGGGACAGAGGGAGGAACGUGCUUGCCAGCCAGAGUCCAGGCUGUUGGAGGCCCAUGAGGAGGAAACUGAACUCAGAGGGGUUAAGUAACUAGCCCUGAGGUCACACAGCUAGGAAGAGGAAGAAUCAAGAUUACAGUCCUGUACCAUCCUCUAAAUGACAUUCGAGGACCCCCUCCUGCUCCAGGAGACUGGGACUUUCUGAAGCCUUCCAUUGGGGUGUAAUUAGUUGUUUUCUAGUUGUUUCCUGUGCUGGAGGUUGUCUUCUCACCUAGACUUGGUCUCUUUAAGGCCUGGCUGUAUUUUAUCCUUUUCUUCUAUGGAGA
rnacentral:lncRNA from 1 species